rnacentral:lncRNA from 1 species
UGUCCCUGUAAGGACUCCGAGCGCAUGAACAGUAGGAAAGACUAGAUUGGAAUCUCUUUGACUUGUGUUCAUGGGUAGUACAUUGCCCCAGCUCAUAGGUAUCAAUUACGUAUGGGGAUACCUAAGUUUGUUUUCCAUUGCUGGCUACGCAGAGCGGAAGAUGUGAAACCCGCUUUGAUUAACCAAGAAAACCUACGUGGUUGUGAGCAGUCCAGUCCACUGUGGUGGGAGCACACAGUGUAAGGAAGCUGCUUACCUCAUGACAACUAGGAAGUAAAAGAAGGGACUGGUGUCCUACAAUCCCCUUGAAGGACAGACCCCAGUAGCCUGAAGGCCCAUCUCCUAAAAUUCCACCAUGUGCACGGAGUGCCACCUUCCUGAGCACAGGUCUGACUGGGCAAAGAGAGAUUCCUCUGAGGAGAGAACCCUGCAGAAAUAAAUGAGCUGCUAUUUUGCUGUCUCCAAACUGCACGAGUUACAAAUAUGAAACAUGACCAAUAGCUGUGUUUGAAGAGAUCAUGUAUUUCCUGAAGAUCAAAACCGUCAUCUUCUACCCGACCUCUACAGUCUUCAAAAUCUGCUGGUCCAUCAUCCCAGUAAGAAUUUCUUGGGCAGAGGAAGAUAGUUUGAAAUAAGCUGAGGCUCAUUGGCUUGCUGCUAUAUCCGUGGGAUACAUAGGAGGGGGUAAUAUGAGGCCAAACCCCUAUGAGUGUCAGAACACACGGGAUAGUUAUAAUGAGAUAGAAAAGGAAGCCCUUUGUAAUGAUGUGCAAAAGAAACAUAGACAUGUUCUUACAAUCCGGCGGGCAUGUGUUUGACAUCCUGACUAACCAGGCACGGUAUGUGGAGGGAUAUUCCAAUUUCUAAGAUCUUUAUGGCUGGCAGCUCAUGGCCUCAGAAUGCGCUGCGCCUCUAUCAGUUUCUGACUGAGAAGUGUAAGAUAAAUAAGGGUCAGCAAAGCAGUUUGGUGAUGGUAUCCACUUAAACAAACCCUGCAUGGCAUCUGGCCAACUAAUACCAGGUUGCGGUGGGUGGGGCACAAGCAGCAUUGGCCUAGACCUGGACUUGUCAUUGUCUACCGCAUCAAUUGUUUUCACUCUCCCACACUGAAGUGUCUCAGCUUUCAUAGGAUUCUGCAUCCAGUUGGCCUCCCAUUCCUUUAUAUGGCUGCACUACAUAGCUCUCUUGUGGGUGUGACAACGUUCCUGACAUAGACAACUCCGAGGUUCAGAAGAAUCAGCCUACUGGCUCUUGAUCCCAUGCCCUUGGGCUGAUUAUCAUUGCACAGGGGUGUGCUACAGUGGAGGGCCCUUACCUCAUUUCAAACAGGAAGGAGAGGAGGUGAUGCAUCAAGAAGCCAAGGCCAGACACAGCCUCCAAAGCCAUGCUUCCUGUAGCCGACCUCCUCCAAGGAGCUCCCACUUCCUGUUUGUCAUCACUGCAUGACACUGUUAAUGAUAUUACAGACCCAUCAGGGAACUAAUCCAGUCCCAGGCGGCGCCCGCAGGGUCCAGUCACUUGCUCAAGCCUGUCUCCUAAUACAGAAACCAUAUUCAGACCAGGGUGAUGCUUCUGUGGCUCCAAGUACAUUCACUGUCUACUCUGCAAUUUCUCAACCUCAGUGGCAUGGACAUUUCGAGCCAAAACCUCAUAGCAUCCAUCAUAUGUGACCUUCACGUGAACUAUAGAAUGCUUAGCAGUGUCCUGGACCUCCAUUAUUGCAAUACUAGGAGUGUGUCCCAUGAACUUGUCUCAAAAUGAAUUAAGCAAAUAUAGAAAAGUACUGAGCAGGAAUUAUGAAUUUUAUUUUGGGAUGCUGAGUAGCUUUGGUAGUCUUACUUGUCCCUGGAAAGUUAGUUCAUGCUUUUGUUUUCUAAGGCUCUGGCAAUAACUUUGUAGCCACUUGCUUAUUUCUGGUGGGGUUAUAUAUGUUUUUGAGACAAUAUCUUGCUCUGCAGUGCAGGCGGACCUGUAACUUUCACCAUAGCCAGGUCUGGCCUCAAACUUAUAUAUCAACCCUGUGGCCUCAGCUUUCCAAAGAGUUGGGAUUACAGGUAUGAGGUAGCGUGUUUGGCCACAAUGGUUUACUUACUUCUUAUAGAUAAAACAAGGCAGAAACACUGUGGCACUGGUCCACUUUUCCAAGCUGAUAUUGUUUUUUUUCUUCUACUGUAGCAUAGAGUCUAUUCCUUCUGUGCACAAAAAUGCAAACAUACUCGAUGAGAUUAUGAAAUACCCCAAAAUUUCAUAAUGUUGCUCUUCAACCUCUCUUGCAGAAAAAUAAAAUAAUAUUGAUUAAUCAAUGUGACGUCUUUAGCUUGAUAAUAGUGGAACAUAAUAAUCUGAGAAAAAUAAGUGUUUGAGCUGCACAGAACUUUUACCAGUGACUAUAGUGACUACGCUAUAGUUUUGCCUUGAUGAUCCUUAGAUAAAAUACUCUUGACAAUUUCAAAUUUCAUCAAGCCAAAUAUUAAUAUCAGUAGGUAGGCUUGAAAGUGCUCACAAUGUGUAAAAAGUGUAGGACGACUUUGUGUAGAAGAAAUUCAUACAUUAAAAACAAAACAUGGAGGGCUGGAGAGACGGCUCAAUGGUUAAGAGCACUGACUACUCUUCCAGAGGUCCUGAGUUCAAUUCCCAUCAACCACAUGGUAGCUCACAACCAUUUGUAAUGAGAUCUGAUGCCCUCUUCCGGUGUGUCUGAAGACAGCUACAGUAUUAUACAAUAAAUAAAUAAAUAAAUAAAUAAAUAAAUAAAUCUUUUAAAAAAGAUGGAAAUGGUGUAUCAACUGAGGCUUCAGUUAUAUAGUUAACAAUGUAAAUAACAUGAAGAAAAAUUUACACAAACUCAUUAGAUGGAAACUGAAUCCAUCACAGAAAUAUAAGAUUUCUCUUCACUGAAAGGCAUUAUCUCACUACCCUGUAUGACCUAUAUAGGGAACCUAAAUUGUUGCAUAUUUCAAUUAGCAACUCAAAUGGUCCUAAUUUUAUAUUAUCAACACACUAUGAUGUGACUUAAGUUUUUAAGUACUAAUUUUUCAAGGCCAGUGUUAAGGCCCACUAAGUGUGCUAUAACUAAAGAACUAGUCACCGUGUGAAACACAGUCAUCUGUCUGUCUCUCCAUCCAUCCAUCCAUCCAUCCAUCCAUCCAUCCAUCCAUCCUCCACCCACCCACUCAACCACCCAGCCACCUAUGCAUCUAUCUAUCUAUCUAUCUAUCUAUCUAUCUAUCUAUCUAUCUAUCUAUCUAUCUAUCUAAUGUAUCUACCCUCCCAAACCUCUUAUAUGUAAACAGGAUGUGCACACUCAAGAAACAAACACAAAUUUUCAAUGUGUUUUCUAACAUGGGAAGUAACAUGUUCCAAAUAGGAAGGCAGAAAUUAAACUGUCACAAAAACCAAAAGACAAAGUACUUUCAAGCCAUAAAAUUAUAGUUUGAGUUUUUCGUUCUGGGCUCUUCACUACCCACCCCCAACAAAAUAAUAGAGGAUAGACUAAAUUAGUAAGUAAGAAUAACAAUAUAAAUGCAUUAAGAAUAACAAUAUAAAUGCAUGAUACUUGUGACUUAAUUUCAUCACAGUUGACAAAGAACACACACACAUAUACACACACACACCAUGAAAUGAAUAAGCAAUGGACAAAAUUCAACACUAAUGAUAAAAUGUCAUUGAGACUUGCUUUUCUACUUAACAAAUUAAGGCACCUUUUAGACUAUGGUAGACUCCACGUUACAGAAAUGAGGCAAAGUAUAAGAGCCCACACUGACCUUCUGGAAGCAUUAAUA